rnacentral:rRNA from 1 species
UACGGAGGGUGCAAGCGUUAAUCGGAAUUACUGGGCGUAAAGCGCGCGUAGGCGGCUUGUUAAGCCAGAUGUGAAAGCCCCGGGCUCAACCUGGGAACUGCAUUUGGAACUGGCUAGCUAGAGUACAGUAGAGGGUGGUGGAAUUUCCAGUGUAGCGGUGAAAUGCGUAGAUAUAUGGAGGAAUACCAGUGGCGAAGGCG